CCUUUCGCGCGCGCUGUUUGCAGUGACUAUAUGUGUUACGCAAUCGCCUCAAUACACGAGUAGUUGGUUCACUCGCAUUUAUUGCGCGCUACUUGGCCAGUAAGCACGAGUACUUAGCAAGGGUACGCGGUUGCCUUCCUCCCUUUCUACCUGUCUACCUGUGACGACCCCUACCUAGCUAGGCUAUGCAAGCAUUAUUGGACAGGGCCUUUCCAGGAAAUAAGGUGGAGUCUUACCAUCCAAUGGUAGAGAUUCCGGCGUGAGAGGAUGACCCCCGGGUCAUAUGAUGCACCCUAGGAGAGGCCUCUCGUGGGGCCCUUCCAGGCCCUUCCAGAAAAGGAUUAUUGCAUUGCAGGCCUGGCCGUGUGCGGGCACAAGCAAGUGUACGGGACUAAUAAUGCAGCCAUGACCG
rnacentral:lncRNA from 1 species